rnacentral:lncRNA from 1 species
GAGGGCGCCCUACAAGGCAGGGGAUGCCAACGCUCUCGGAGUACCCUCCAUCCAUCCUCUUCUGGAAUGUCUGGGGUCCCACACAGCAGCUAAGGAGGAAUAUCAAGAGGUUUAAGAGAGAGAUUCCCCCCCACCAUGGGAGAGUCAGAUUGACUUCACACAGACUGGCAUCAGGACCACAAGCUCUUCACCAACUGCACCAUCUGCCCAGCCUGCUUUGAUGGCUUGAUCCUUCAACGUAACCACUGUGCCACAGCCUAGGCCCUCAGACAGAUGCUGGUCCCCAAGGCCACACUCAAGAGUGCUGAGCACAGCUGUUGCAAUUCCGGCUUCCAAGUCUCAGCACCCAGACACCAGCCCGCUGCUUCCUGAACUGAGAGAUGAGGGGAAGUGGGGUGUGGACAGAACAGAAAAAGGAGUGGCCAGCUUCCUCUAACCCUUGAAGCCAGGGGAUGGCACACUCAGAACUUGGUAACAUGGGAUGCCACUCGAAUAAGC